GAACGAGGAUGGACAGGAAAUUAGUUGCUGUGCUAUAAUCCAAGACACUAUCAAAUUGAGCAACGCAAAUAUAGCAUCUUAAGGACUUUUAUAGUUUGUUGAGCUCUAAAACAACAAGAGCUUCUUCCAACAGGUGGGUCUCGAGGGUAAGGUGGAAAUAGCAAGGUAUUACAAGCUCUUCAUGCAGUUUCUUGGUGCAAAGGAAAGUGUUGCAACUUGGGAGGAAUAUGGCCUUUUUCUCUUGGGGCUUUUUUUUAUGGUCGAUGACUAAGUGUUCUAGUUUCAUCGGUUUAAAGGGUUUUUACAAUUGUAAAUAGUGAUAACAAAUUAAAUUUACUGAAGUUUUGAAGCCUUUAUGCCAUGUCUAAUGAAGGCAUUAAAUCUUCUAUUUGUAAAUUUAAGGAUUCUCUCCCUAUUUUCAAUGAAUAUUAA